GGAACAGAGGCUUCUCUGAUGUCUUAUACCUUGAUUCUAUGAAUAAGAGAUAUACUGAAGAGGCCUCUUCUUGUUCUGUCUUCAUUUCGAAGGUUUGAAGCACAUCUCUCAAUACGUAGCAACUUUUCUAGGCGUGGGUGUUGCCUGGAGGACUGCAAAUGCGGAAUCAGGAUCAACGAUUGUCAUCUCUGAGUUAGGAGCAAUAUGAUUUGUUUUAUGAUCUUCUACCUGAUAGAAUAGGAGGAUUUGCUGCCUAUCUAAUUCUUGAGGAUAAAGAGUUCUAUUUUUUAGGUGCAUAAUUAUAGAUAUAGAUCAUGCUUGCCAUGCUUUUUUAAAUUUAGAUGUAAUGAUACUUAGUAAAUGAUUUUUAUUUGUUGUUUGAUAAAAUAUUUUUGGAUUCAA